rnacentral:rRNA from 1 species
UACAACUUUCAACAACGGAUCUCUUGGCUCUCGCAUCGAUGAAGAACGCAGCGAAAUGCGAUAAGUAAUGUGAAUUGCAGAAUUCAGUGAAUCAUCGAAUCUUUGAACGCACCUUGCGCUCCUUGGUAUUCCGAGGAGCAUGCCUGUUUGAGUGUCAUU